AAUUCGUAAGAUCCCUGGAAGACGACCAGGUUGAUAGGCUCGAGGUGGAAGCGCAGCAAUGCGUGCAGCUGACGAGUACUAAUCGAUCGAGGGCUUAUCCUA
rnacentral:rRNA from 1 species